rnacentral:misc_RNA from 1 species
AACUCUCAACCUCCUUUCCCUUGUGAUCGGCUGGUUGGAUCAUGGGUGCUUGCCGGCCAGGCCGGCUCGCCUGAAAUGCAUUUGCGAUGUUGUGUCCUUGUGCUUGUGAGUUGGUCCGACUAGGCGUGAUGGUAACAACCGUUCGUCUAGCAUCCCCCUUCGGCGAGGAGCUGCUCCUGUUGGGCGUUUACCUUCCCAUGAACACUCAUAUCUUUGG